rnacentral:tRNA from 1 species
GGGUGUAGCCAAGCGGUAAGGCACUAGACUUUGACUCUAGCAUGCGUAGGUUCAAAUCCUGCCACCC